rnacentral:rRNA from 1 species
AAAUUGAAGAGUUUGAUCAUGGCUCAGAUUGAACGCUGGGGGCAGGCCUAACACAUGCAAGUCGAACGGUAACAGGAAGAAGCUUGCUUCUUUGCUGACGAGUGGCGGACGGGUGAGUAAUGUCUGGGAAACUGCCUGAUGGAGGGGGAUAACUACUGGAAACGGUAGCUAAUACCGCAUAACGUCGCAAGACUAAAGAGGGGGACCUUCGGGCCUCUUGCCAUCGGAUGUGCCCAGAUGGGAUUAGCUAGUAGGUGGGGUAACGGCUCACCUAGGCGACGAUCCCUAGCUGGUCUGAGAGGAUGACCAGCCACACUGGAACUGAGACACGGUCCAGACUCCUACGGGAGGCAGCAGUGGGGAAUAUUGCACAAUGGGCGCAAGCCUGAUGCAGCCAUGCCGCGUGUAUGAAGAAGGCCUUCGGGUUGUAAAGUACUUUCAG